rnacentral:tRNA from 1 species
GUGCCCGUAGCUCAGCCGGAUAGAGCGGCGCUUUCCUAAAGCGCAGGUCGCUGGUUCGACUCCAGUCGGGCAUACCA